rnacentral:rRNA from 1 species
AUCUUCCGCAAUGGACGAAAGUCUGACGGAGCGACGCCGCGUGGUAGAUGAAGUCCUUAGGGACGUAAAUACCUUUUAUGAGGGAAGAAGUUUAUUGACAUUACCUCAUGAAUAAGGGGCUCCCAAUUCUGUGCCAGCCGGAGCGGUAAUACAGAAGCCUCGAGCGUUACCCGGAUUUACUGGACGUAAAGGGUGUGUAGGUGGUGUGAUUAGUCUUGCGUUAAAUCCUAGGGCUUAACCCUAGGCUCGCGUGAGAUACGGUCACACUAGAGGAAGUGAGAGGUGUGUGGAACUCAAGGUGUAGGGGUGAAAUCCGUUGAUAUCUUGGGGAACACCAAAAGCGAAGGCAACACACUGGCACUUUCCUGACACUGAAACACGAAAGCGUGGGUAGCGAAU